rnacentral:RNase_P_RNA from 1 species
CGCCCCUUGGUAAGGGUGAAACGGUGCGGUAAGAGCGCACCAGUGCUGGUGGUAACACCGGCAGCUAGGUAAACCCCACCCGGUGCAAGGUCCGAUAGGGAGAAAGAGCUUGCCCGGCUCGCUAACAUCUCCGGGUUGACCGCUCGAGGCGCCUGGCGACAGGCGUCCUAGAUAGAUGAUCAGCCCCCACUAGGGGACAGAACCCGGCUUACCCCUCUCCCGCCACG